CUCUCAGCUUACUGCAACUUCUGCCUCCCGGGUUCAAGCGAUUCUCAUGCCUCAGCCUCUCUAGUAGCUGGGAUUACAGGCAUGCAAUACCAUGCCCGGCUAAUUUUUGUAGUUUUAGGAGAGAGGGGGUUUCACCAUGUUGGCUAGGCUGGUCUCAAACUCCUGACCUCAAAUGAUCCAACACCUAGGCCUCCCAAAGUGCUGGGGUUACAGGCAUGGGCCACCGCUCCCAACUCAGUAAUUACUUUCUGUUAUAUUCAUGGGAGUAGAAUUGCAAGGUAUAUUCUGCACUUUAGUGCACACCAAACUGCCUUCAGAAAAGAUGUACCUGUUUACACUUUCAUCAUUUUAUCUGUUUUAUAUGUUUUCAGACACUUUAUCCUGCAACUUUGACUACUUAACGGUGGGUUCCAAUAGUAAAAAUAGUAACAUAUGCUUUGUGGUCAUGUUAGCACUGAUUAAUUAGUAAACCUUCCACGUUUUCCAGUCAGUAUCAACGUGGUCUUCCGUUUAUUUUCCUAAUCUCACUUUUCGUAACCUCCCUUUCUCUUCUUGUCUCACUUCCUUACAUUUCUUCUGAACCUCCGUAUACCUGUCUCAUUAAAUUUAAUGAUUAAACUUUUUAAUUACAAUUGUAAAAGUAUCUCUAAUCAAUUAAUACAUCUCAACCAAAGAUAAAAAUAUGGAACUCUUAUAAACUAUUGACUAACCAAUGAGAAGAGCACUGUAUUGAGAGAGUGAAGAAUGAUACGUGGCAGUAUAAAAUGAUUUCAGUGAUAAAGUUUUUAGCUUAUGAAUAAAAAGAAAAAUGCUAGUUUGUGUUGCAAAUAAAAUAAGCUGGGAAAUGUUUGGAUGUUUUGAAAUUUAGAAAGAGAAUGAGUUAGGGCAUGGUGGCUUCCAGAAGGAGAAAUAAGAGUGAAAUGUAUGAUGUUACUUCUAUUUUAUAUUAUGUGAAAUAUGAUAUACUCAUCUCAGUGUGGUAUACAUGGCUGAUAAGAGCUUAAACUGUUACAUUUGUGAAGUUAUUUGGGCUUUUGCAGAGUACACUGUCUAGGAAAUGACUCAUAUGGAGGACAGCUGAACUCCUUCAAUGGCCUAAAAUCGCCUCACGCACAAAGCAGUGGGCUACAUACAGCACAAUUGUAGUCCACUCACUAUAUACUCAAAAGUCCUGUAAUUCACCAUCCAUCACAUUUAUGGGGCCUGAGAAAUGUGCCCGUAACUCUAAAAAUCACACUCGGUAAUUCCAAGGACAGUGGUGCCAGCAGCUUGGAGCCAUCGAUGCUUCCAGGACACUGGUCCGUGGUCCUUGAUCAUCCCACAGUUCUUGGCAUGACUCAAGGAUGUAUUGACAUAAGUCAGAACCAGUCAUUCACCCUAAAAGCUAGGCUGCCUGGAACAUUACUCACAAAUUCCUUUCCCAAGAUUCCCAACAGACAGCCAGCAGAGGAAGGGAGAAGAUACAUCAGGGAGAGGUGAGGACACAGGGAACGAACAUACUUUGUGUGCUAACUCAGGUCCUCAGAGAAGUGGAUGGCACGGUGCGAUUAACCAUGCACGGCGCAUGUGGGCGGAAACGGCUGUGAAGGGGAAAGGAGGGGCAGCCGUGGGCAGGGAAAGCCUGCAGACAGCUAGCUGGUCUAAGGCCGGCGCAAGGAGCGGGGGCAGGAAGGAGAAUGGGGAGAAUGCGCUCAGACCAAAAGCACAGUUCUCAGCCUCAGCAGAGCCACAGUGGAGUCUCUGAGAAGUUUGCCUCUUAGAGGAGCCCAGCUUCCCCACUGCAGGUAGAAAUGGGCCUCCUCCAGAACCCCGCUACCUUGCCACUGACUGGGAGCCGCCCAAGGGAGCAGUGGGCCUGGAGGCGCAGACACCGGGAGCUGCCAGCCAACUGUGCUCCCCUGUAGGGUCUCUUGGAGGGAGAUGUGAUGGGUGCAUGUCACAGCUGCCACCCCAUGUGUAAGUAAUAAGAAGAACUUUGAUGCGAUGGGAGUAUCUCCAUAGAGACAGAGGGAGAUAAGGUGAAAAGAAAUAUGUCUGCCCAAUUGCAAAGUCUUGCAAGUCCCACUAGAGAUUGGGCAUUCACCCACUAUCAGAGGCUCCAAGAAAACAGGGUCUUAUGUGCAAAUUCAUUUCAGAAACACAUUUUAUAAGAUUUCCUGCCUGGAGAUUCAUACAGCAGAGUAGCAUAUUAAAGUCUCUGAAACAUCUUGCAGUAAAGAAACCUAUUUAACUUUUUUAAACUCAGUAUAUUCCAGACCCACCUAACCAGAUACUCACAGAAUUCUGGCAGAAGAUGCUUUAGCAACCUUGUGCUGUAGACCACAUGAUCCCAGCAAGGUUUCCCAUUAGGGACACAAUUGAAGUUCUGCCCCUCGGGUGGCAGCCUCCAGAAAUAAAUUGAGAGAUGAAUAUAUUAGAAGCAAAAACAACUGCAAAGGCCCAGCAAUCAAUUAAAAGGGCCUGAACUGGGUGAGAAGCUGUAACAAAGUGCCACAGGCUGAGCGGCCUAAGCAACAGAAAUGUACUUUCCUGCGGUUCUGGAGGCCAGAAGUACAAGGCCAAGGUGUGGAGGGUGAGGCUGGCAGCAUAUAAGCUUGGUGGGGUGGAGGGCACAGUUCAGCCCACAGCAGUGCAGUGGAGAUCGCUGCAGCCCGGGAACACCUGCCUCUGCUCCCUCUCCUGAUCUGUGGAUGACUACGCUGCCCAGCACCCCUGCAAGUAGGAGGGAUGAUGUGACUUGUUCUGACCACAAGGCUGUGAGCAGAAGCAUCUUAUGUCACAUCCAGGCCCAGCACUGAAAAGCCUCUGCUCAACCCCUUGCCUGGAAAAUCCUGAGCCAUGUGCAGAGGAGGUGGCCAGAUAAGACAAGGGGGCCUCUUCAGCCUGAGUCCCUGAGGGACAACGCACAGCAGAGACCCUGCAGACCUGCAUUGGGUGCAUUGCAGAAGGGAGAAAUGGACUUUUUCUGUACUGAGCCAGAGAAAUUUGGAGAUUAACUUCAUACUUCAGCAUAACCUAGAUGAUUCUUACUAAGUGAUGGGAAUGGACAGAGUACACUGCCAAAACAUGAUCAUGUCGUGAGCAACUCACUUAUCUUGGAAGAAGGAAGGAGGGGGUGAUAUUUCUGAGUAUGUUGAUCGAAUGGAUAGCAACAUCAUUACAGAGAACAAAGGAGAUGAGACAGCUUUGGAAAUAAAUUGAAUUUGGGCCAUGUUAUGCUAGGGAUCCUCAGCCAGCAAUGUCUAGUAAACAAGUCAAACCUCACAUCUGCAAUCCAAGAACAAUGUCUAAGCUGGAAAUAAUAAUAUUGGCAUUCAUCGGCGUAUAGUGACUGGUAGAUGGGAGUGGACUGAACUACCUGGGAAGAG
rnacentral:lncRNA from 1 species